CAGGGAGAUGCCGAAAACCCUUUUCAGAGUAGGCG
rfam:Algoriphagus sp. A40 NODE_36_length_25614_cov_7.90109_ID_71, whole genome shotgun sequence.